rnacentral:lncRNA from 1 species
GGCACUAUAGUCAUUUUAUACCUUGGACUUAUGAGAAGAGGAUGCAACACAUUGAAAUUUGGAGGUGCAGUUGGAAUUUCAUUUGGAAGCUGGAACACUCCACAGCCCAUAUUGCAUUCCUAGGCUGAAAGUGUGUUUCAAUUGGAAGUGGGGUGACGUCCAGCACACACCUGCAACCAUCACACAAGCACGUGAACAGAAAAAAAAAAAAAAGAAGAAGUCUGCCACGGUCUAGCAAAGCGUGAUGGCCUGAGAAAAAAAUGAAGCUGAUUAAAUUCUUGGGAGGUGGCAGCAACGUCCACCAACACAAUCAUGCAGCUGGUCAGCACGUGACAGCACACGGUCACGAUUUUCUUUUGAGAUGCAGCAGGAUUUUCAUAUUUAGGCAGGCAACAACACACUCACGUGCAUCUAGCUGCAACUCGGCCCAAUAACCAACUCCCUUCACGCUCNAAAGCUGGAAGAAAGAAAGCAACACAUGGGGCUGGAUCAAGUGAGCGCAACUUCACAACACGGGCUUCAACAAUUNUGUUUGGAGGGUGCUCACAUCCACGGUGUUGUAGCCCACAUGCCUCCACGCAGCAGCUUCAUUCCAUGCUGCAUUCAGCAACCAACAUCACGGAAGCCCAGCUGCUUCCACGCUCCACGGUGCCUUACACUUGACAGCAGCUUGAAUUGGGCUGCACCACAUGUUACUCGGUCCANCACUUGAAGUUGUUGCCAACGUCCACAACUUUGCAAUCAGCAAGCUGCUUAGGGUUGCCACGGUCUGCACACGUGAAGAAGUUGGCCCAGCGCUGUCAUUGUAUCAACCUGCAGGCCACCGAAAACAAAAAGAAGAGGUGUCCAGCAAUACNUAGGGCAGCAACUGCUUUGGAGAAAGUUGGUGCGACAAUCACGGUCCAGGCAACAAUAAAGAGGUUGCAGUCCACAUUGAAUUACGGUGCAGUAUCUUUGAAGUAGGCUAAGACAGCUAGUCCACAAAGCAGCUNGAUCCGGC